GACGAACGCUGGCGGCGUGCUUAACACAUGCAAGUCGAGCGGUAAGGCCCUUUCGGGGGUACACGAGCGGCGAACGGGUGAGUAACACGUGGGUGACCUGCCCUCAGCUCUGGGAUAAGCCUGGGAAACCGGGUCUAAUACUGGAUAUGACUCCAUGACGCAUGGUUGUGGGGUGGAAAGCCUUGUGCGGCUGAGGAUGGGCCCGCGGCCUAUCAGCUUGGUUGGUGGGGUGAUGGCCUACCAAGGCGACGACGGGUAGCCGGCCUGAGAGGGCGACCGGCCACACUGGGACUGAGAC
rnacentral:rRNA from 1 species